UUUUUGAAAUGUCUGCCAGGUCCACCUCUGCUUAAGUUGAUAUUUAUUUAAUUAUCACUGGGCAAGGUAGACUCUACAGCCGUUUCUUCAA
rfam:Tribolium castaneum strain Georgia GA2 linkage group LG2, whole genome shotgun sequence.